GGGGAUGUAGCUCAGUGCUAGAGCGCAUGCUUUGCAUGCAUGAGGUCCCAGGUUCAAUCCUUGGCAUCUCCA
rfam:TPA: Bos taurus chromosome 23, whole genome shotgun sequence.